GACGAACGUUGGCGGCGUGCUUAAUACAUGCCAGUCAACUGAAGCAGUGGUAGCAAUAUCGCUGUGGAGGUGGCGCACGGGUGAGUAACACGUAGGUAAUCUGCCUUCAGGUCUGGCAUAACUCCGGGAAACCGGGGCUAAUAGCAGAUGAUGCAGCGGCUCGACAUCGAGACAGUUGUUAAAGCUAUGGCGCCUGAAGAUGAGCCUGCGUCUGAUUAGCUAGUUGGCGGGGUAACGGCCCACCAAGGCAACGAUCAGUAGCUGGUCUGAGAGGAUGAUCAGCCACAAUGGAACCGAGACACGGUCCAGACUCCUACGGGAGGCAGCAGUAAGGAAUAUUGCUCAAUGGGAGAAAUCCUGAAGCAGCAACGCCGCGUGAGGGACGAAGGGCUUUUGCUUGUAAACCUCUGUAGUGAGAGAAAAAAAUCCCCAUCUUUGGGACAUGAUGGUAUCUUAAAAGUAAGCCCCGGCUAACUACGUG
rnacentral:rRNA from 1 species